CGCACAUUGCGCCCUUUGGUAUUCCGAGGGGCAUGCCUGUUCGAGCGUCAUUUAAAGACCAAUCAAGCUAUUAUAUUUGCUUGGAAAUUGGACAUUUGCAAAAAAUUCCCUGCUGUGGAGUUUUUUGCUUGUUCCCAAAGAUAUUGGCAGUGAAUAAUUGCUUUCAACCGUCGUAGAAUCUUUUUAUCCGGUUUAGAAUAGUUUUAAUUCAUUUUCGCCUUUUUAACUCAAUUCUUAAGGUUGACCUCGAAUCAGGUAAGAAUACCCGCUGAACUUAA
rnacentral:misc_RNA from 1 species